UGGGCCGGAGGGGUCAGGCGAGGUCAGUAAAGGCCAAACUGCAUUUCCUGCUCUGGAACUGGAGGUGUAAGAUGAUGUGAUUAUGGGCGAGCUGGCUGAGGGGAAAUUGGGAACUGAUCCGUUAAUCCCCCCAUCCUCCUGAACCACGGACGACUGGAGGACCAAGGGGGCUAUCGGAGGAGUGGAAACUUAAGAACAAGGGAACCAGAAUGAAGCGAAUGGAAAAUGGCUCGAAAGCAGCACCUGCUCCAGGUCUUGAUCAGAUCAGGGGGUGCCGGCCGAAGGUGAGCUGAGCUGAGCUGAGCAAGGGAAUGAGAAACGAUGGAACAGGUGUUUGCCUCGUGAGAGAGAGAGAGAGAGAGAGAGAGAGGGAGAGGAGAGUGGACGGAUGGAGAUAAGCCAGUUAAUGACAACCUGUAUCCUCAAAAUCCAACACAACCCGAAUCAUAAAAAGGAAACAAAGUACCAUAGCAGCAAUUCCCAAUGAAAUUCAGACGCAUCCAACAGUUGAAUUAAUAACUAUCAUCUAUUCCCACAGGAAAGCUCUCCACAUUCUCUUGGAUAACAUCAGACUUCUCCUGAGCCAAAAAGGUUCCUUUACUGUGUGUUUAGCACAUCGAGCCAAGCCUCCACCUUUACUGAUGCUCAAUGAGUUUGUUUAGUGUGUGUAAAGGCGUUUUAUGGGUCUGUGUGUGUUCGUAUGAGGAUGGGUGGGAUUUAUGAUGGUGGAAGUCUAUGCUGAUGCAUCUCUACAGCAGUAAAGGUGCAGCUGAGUACAGACGGACCACAAAUAGGUUCAAUAUAUUUAUAUAUUUUCAUAUUUGAAAAAGAAAUAAAUGCAAAACUAAAAACUGAAAUAAAAUGCAAUUAAACCUGAAAUAUGAAUAUAAAAACACUAAUAAAAAGAUAGAAAGCACAACAAAGAUGACUCCAAAUUAAACUAAGAUUACAAUGAAAACUGAAAAGCUAAUUUAAACAAUUAAAAACACUAGUACAUAGAUAAUAAUAAAAUAACGCUAUAAAUAUGAAUUAUUGAAGCCUCAGUGUAAAUUCUAUUGGGAAGACUAAAUGUCAUGUCAUUCAUUCAUACUAACAGGUGUGGCCAAUCACUACUUAACAACUGGAGAAUAUAAGCACUGAACUCGCUGUUUCAUUUUUCGCAGUCAAUGACGCUGAUGUUCCCCUCCAUCCUCCCCACCACCACCAGGUUGGCCCUGUCCAUCCGGGGGUGGGCUCCGCCCCUGCCUUCAUCUUCAGGCAGGAUCAGCCAAAUCUGCAUCCCCAGGAUUUGGAUAAAGGUUGGGGUCUACGCCAAAGAAUUUUUAUACAACUAUACAUGAAUUAUCGUGACUCACUACCAUCUGUAAAUUCUUUACGGAAUAAAUACCAU